rnacentral:rRNA from 1 species
GCAUAGAAUAAUUUUAAAAUUCAUCGAUGUCGUAAGGGAAAAUAAUGAUAAUACCUUACUAUGAGUGUCGUCCAAAUCUGGUGCCAGAAGACUCGGUAAGACCAGAGACGCAAACGUUAAUCAUCAUAAACAGGCGUAAAGGGUUUGUAGGCAGCUUUUAUAGGAUUAUUAUAAAAAGGUAAUUUAAAUUAAAAGCUAGAAUCAAAAAGAGGUUAUAGUGUAUAACGCCUAGAGGAGGGCUGAUAUCCGUAGAUCCUAGGCAGAAUACUCAGGGCGAAGGCCACUCUCCACUAAUGAUUGACGCUGAGAAACGAAGGUUAGGGUAGGAAAUAGGAUUAGAUACCCCGGUACUCCUUUCUGUAAACGAUGAAUGGUAGUCAUUAGUAAAAAUAACUAGAGGCGAAGUUAACACAAUAACCAUUCCGCCUUGUGAGUACUACUGCAAAGUAGAAAACAAAAAAAUUAGUCGGUCUCGAAGCAAACGGAGUGAAGCAUGUUAUUUA